UAAAAUCUUAGUGGCGGACGGGUGAGUAACGCGUGGGUAACCUGCCUUACACUGGGGGAUAACACUUAGAAAUAGGUGCUAAUACCGCAUAAGCGCACGAAGCCGCAUGGAUUUGUGUGAAAAACUCCGGUGGUGUAAGAUGGACCCGCGUCUGAUUAGCUUGUUGGCGGGGUAACGGCCCACCAAGGCGACGAUCAGUAGCCGGCCUGAGAGGGUGGACGGCCACAUUGGGACUGAGACACGGCCCAAACUCCUACGGAAGGCAGCAG
rnacentral:rRNA from 1 species